UCCUCAUUGUGCAUGCUGUGUG
rnacentral:miRNA from 12 species